AUUAGCUAGUUGGUGAGGUAACGGCUCACCAAGGCGACGAUCUCUAGCUGGUCUGAGAGGAUGAUCAGCCACACUGGGACUGAGACACGGCCCAGACUCCUACGGGAGGCAGCAGUGGGGAAUAUUGGACAAUGGGGGCAACCCUGAUCCAGCCAUGCCGCGUGUGUGAAGAAGGCCUUCGGGUUGUAAAGUACUUUCAUUGGUGAGGAAGGAUGUUAAGUUAAUACCUUAAUAUAUUGACGUUAACCAAAGAAGAAGCACCGGCUAACUCCGUGCCAGCAGCCGCGGUAAUACGGAGGGUGCGAGCGUUAAUCGGAAUUACUGGGCGUAAAGGGCAUGCAGGCGGUUACAUAAGUCAGGUGUGAAAUCCCCGCGCUUAACGUGGGCAUUGCAUUUGAAACUAUGUAGCUAGAGUUCUGUAGAGGGGGGUAGAAUUCCAGGUGUAGCGGUGAAAUGCGUAGAGAUCUGGAGGAAUACCGAUUGCGAAGGCAGCCCCCUGGACAGUGACUGACGCUCAUAUGCGAAAGCGUGGGGAUCAAACAGGAUUAGAUACCCUGGUAGUCCACGCUGUCAACGAUGUCGAUUUGGAGGUUGUGGCUAUAAGCUGUGGCUUCCGAAGCUAACGCGUUAAAUCGACCGCCUGGGGAGUACGGCCGCAAGGUUAAAACUCAAAUGAAUUGACGGGGGCCCGCACAAGCGGUGGAGCAUGUGGUUUAAUUCGAUGCAACGCGAAGAACCUUACCUACUCUUGACAUCCAGCGAAUCCUGUAGAGAUACGGGAGUGCCUUCGGGAACGCUGAGACAGGUGCUGCAUGGCUGUCGUCAGCUCGUGUUGUGAAAUGUUGGGUUAAGUCCCGCAACGAGCGCAACCCUUAUCCUUUGUUGCUAGCGGUUCGGCCGAGAACUCAAGGGAGACUGCCAGUGAUAAACUGGAGGAAGGUGGGGAUGACGUCAAGUCAUCAUGGCCCUUACGAGUAGGGCUACACACGUGCUACAAUGGGGUAUACAAAGAGAGGCGAGCUCGCGAGGGUAAGCGGAACUCAUAAAGUACCU
rnacentral:rRNA from 1 species